GCAAUUAAAAGAACAGCAGAAUUAAAAAACUUACUUAUUUAAUGAGAUGGUAUUAUCUUCGCGGACCCCCAGGGGUCCGGGGACCACAAGUUGGGAAUCACUGAUCUAUUCUAUCACGUUAAAAUUAA